rnacentral:rRNA from 1 species
GAUGAACGCUGGCGGCGUGCCUAAUACAUGCAAGUCGAGCGAACAGACGAGGAGCUUGCUCCUCUGACGUUAGCGGCGGACGGGUGAGUAACACGUGGAUAACCUACCUAUAAGACUGGGAUAACUUCGGGAAACCGGAGCUAAUACCGGAUAAUAUAUUGAACCGCAUGGUUCAAUAGUGAAAGACGGUUUUGCUGUCACUUAUAGAUGGAUCCGCGCCGCAUUAGCUAGUUGGUAAGGUAACGGCUUACCAAGGCAACGAUGCGUAGCCGACCUGAGAGGGUGGUCGGCCACACUGGAACUGAGACACGGUCCAGACUCCUACGGGAGGCAGCAGUAGGGUAUCUUCCGCAAUGGGCGAAAGCAUGACGGAACAACGCCGCGUGAGUGAUGAAGGUCUUCGGAUCGUAAAACUCUGUUAUUAGGGAAGAACAAAUGUGUAAGUAACUAUGCACGUCUUGACGGUACCUAAUCAGAAAGCCACGGCUAACUACGUG